rnacentral:rRNA from 1 species
GUGGGGAAUCUUGCGCAAUGGGCGAAAGCCUGACGCAGCCAUGCCGCGUGAAUGAUGAAGGUCUUAGGAUUGUAAAAUUCUUUCACCGGGGACGAUAAUGACGGUACCCGGAGAAGAAGCUCCGGCUAACUUCGUGCCAGCAGCCGCGGUAAUACGAAGGGGGCUAGCGUUGCUCGGAAUUACUGGGCGUAAAGGGCGCGUAGGCGGACAGCUUAGUCAGAGGUGAAAGCCCAGGGCUCAACCUUGGAAUUGCCUUUGAUACUGGCUGGCUUGAGUUUGGGAGAGGUGAGUGGAACUCCGAGUGUAGAGGUGAAAUUCGUAGAUAUUCGGAAGAACACCAGUGGCGAAGGCGACUCACUGGCCCAAUACUGACGCUGAGGCGCGAAAGCGUGGGGAGCAAACAGGAUUAGAUACCCGUGUAGUCC